GACGAACGCUGGCGGUGUGCUUCACACAUGCAAGUCGAACGAGGUAGCAAUACCUAGUGGCGGACGGGUGAGUAACGCGUGGGAAUCUGCCUUUAGAUGGGGGGAUAACGGGUCGAAAGACUCGCUAAUACCGCAUAUGACGAAAGUUGAAAGGAGUAAUCCGUCUAAAGAUGAGCCCGNGUCCGAUUAGCUAGUUGGUAGAGUAAAAGCCUACCAAGGCGACGAUCGGUAGCUGGUCUGAGAGGAUGAUCAGCCACGAUAGGGACUGAGACACGGCCCAUACUCCUACGGGAGGCAGCAGUGGGGAAUUUUACGCAAUGGGCGAAAGCCUGACGUAGCGACACCGCGUGAGCGAAGAAGCCCCUUGGGGUGUAAGCUCUGUCAGCUGGACGAAAAAAAUGACGGUACCAGCAGAGGAAGCAUCGGCUAACUACGUG
rnacentral:rRNA from 1 species